UACGUAGGGUGCAAGCGUUAAUCGGAAUUACUGGGCGUAAAGCGUGCGCAGGCGGUUUUGUAAGUCUGACGUGAAAUCCCCGGGCUCAACCUGGGAAUUGCGUUGGAGACUGCAAGGCUAGAAUCUGGCAGAGGGGGGUAGAAUUCCACGUGUAGCAGUGAAAUGCGUAGAGAUGUGGAGGAACACCGAUGGCGAAGGCAGCCCCCUGGGUCAAGAUUGACGCUCAUGCACGAAAGGCGUGGGGAGCAAACGAGG
rnacentral:rRNA from 1 species